UACAGAGGGUGCAAGCGUUGUUCGGAAUUACUGGGCGUAAAGGGCUCGUAGGCGGCCAACUAAGUCGGACGUGAAAUCCCCAGGCUCAACCUGGGAACUGCGUCCGAUACUGGAUGGCUUGAAUCCGGGAGAGGGAUGCAGAAUUCCAGGUGUAGCGGUGAAAUGCGUAGAUAUCUGGAGGAAUACCGGUGGCGAAGGCGGCAUCCUGGACCGGCAUUGACGCUGAGGAGCGAAAGCCAGGGGAGCAAACGGG
rnacentral:rRNA from 1 species